GUUUUUCGCGGACCAAAGGAUUGGCUGGGUGAGAAAAAGCGGGGUUUGCAUACGAUCUUCAAUAACCGAAACCCUAGCCUACGUCUGCCUUCUAUCUCCCAGCCUUCUACAUCACAAACAAAUAAAUCCUUUCUUCUCUGUGUUCAUAUUGUUGAUGAUGGAGUCGGCGGAAACAGGAGAAUGCCUGUGGAUGGUGACAGACGACUACAUCUUUGGCAUCCGCGUUGAGAAGUUAGAAAAAUUGGGGAAGAAUGAGGAUAGGGAUUGGAAAUCCCAUCUUGAGCAGGCUCCGUUUGAUUUCUGUUUGAAUCUUCCAGAGUCCAGCAUGCCGGAUCACUUUAUCUUCGACUCGAAAUUUUUCUUAGUCGGUAAGCAAACCGAGUCUGGCACCAAGAUCUACCAAAUCUCCUAUGUCGGUGGCAACACGUUGGGCAUAUCUGAGGCAGUAGAGACGGGCGCAAUCCCUCCGCUACCGACCGAAGACUUCCUUUUCCUUGCAAACAUUAAAGAUGAGGUUUACUUGUUGGAGCUUGGUGCGGUACCACUGUUAGGAAGAAAGACGAGGUUAUGGGUUUUAUGUCCCAAUCCCCGUCCCCCGAACUGGCAUUCCGCGCCCGAUCCUCCAACCGAAGUCAACUCUGAUUAUUGUAAUUUUCCUCUUUGUUUUGUGCUAAAUGAUAAAUUCUUUUUGCAUCGCCUGUCCGCACCAGGAAUUGCAUAUCUCUACGAUCCCCAACCUAAAGCAUGGAUUAAACUGGAGCGCACAUCUUUUGAUCCUGGUUAUGCUCUUUUCCUGCGUGUGCCGUCCCUUGGGGAUGUAGGCGAUGGCAGUGUGGUGCUGACAUGGAAACUGAAGGGUCUUCCCGUACGUGGUGUGAAAUAUGACAUACAGGCUUUGCUGGUGGAUAAUAAAGAUUAUUGCAUUCUUCGCCAUCAAGGCCUUGAUGAGUUGUGUGAGGCGAUCCAACCAUCAUUCUUUGAUGAUUUUUCCUCUGAGCUCAACUUGGUUGACCUUGGCAACAGCAAAGUAUGUGUUACCAUCUCUGGUCUCGCAGAAGGCAUUCCGUCCUUUUGCAUUUUAGUAGUUGAAUUAGGGUUGGUACAAGAGGAGCAAAGGUUCUUAUCUGUGCGUGUACUCGUGAAUCGAGUCUUCGAUACGAGGCCUUAUUUCUUAGGUGACCGCGUUCAAGUGCUCUACACCUCCUUUCUUUUCUCCCUCAGAAAGGGAAUGCCUCGCAAACAUCCAUAUUCCAAAGAUUGCAUCUCUCCAAGGAAAGAGCCCAAGCUAGCUGGUGGGACGAAUCCAAGCAACCCAACAACAGCAUUCGAACAAGAAUGACUAACUUCAACCUGUUCAUUUAACGGAGAUCACAUCAAAAUUUGAAUUUGACAGAGGAGGUUGUUUUUGGUCUGCAGAUUAAGUGUUAUAUGAAGCAGUUGUUGUCGAUUCUCGGACAUUGUCAUUUUAGGGGUGUGAUGUAACAAAUAAGAUCUCUUUAUCACCGGAUAGUUUUUCUGUCAUUUGGUGAUGUCGUGCUAAGAUCAUGGUAGUCACUGAUGUGGUGGUGGUGGAUACAGAGGAGGAAACGGUGAAAGAGAGUAAAUCGAUGGAAAGAACUGAGCGGUUGCCACAGAAAACACAUGCAGCGUGAGUAGGCAAGAGGAGAGCAUAGCAGCUGCGGCGACAAGAACAGAGCGGUUAUAUCUAUUUAUUUCCUGUCACGGUGAAAGGGACAACAGCAAUGGUAGUAGGGUUACGGCAGUCGAAGAGGUUGCGGCGACAACUAUGGUAGUCGAGGAGUCUAAGGCAACGGUGGGCUCAGUGGUCACAGUGGAGUUCGUGGUAAGAGUUGACAUGGUGAUGGUGGAUAAGGUGAAAGAUGUGAUGACGGUCGUACAUGUACAGCCAUGGUGGGCUGGAUCAAGGAUUGCAACCAGGGAGGAGGCAGAUGCCAAGGUAGGUACGGCAGCGUUUGUGGCGGCGGAAGCUGCUACAACU